rnacentral:tRNA from 1 species
GGGGCGUUAGCUCAGUGGUAGAGCAUUCGGCUUUUAACCGACUGGUCGAAGGUUCAAGUCCUUCACGCCCCACCA